GACUCGGCUUUCCGGGCUUCGCACUAUUCGCGCCCCGGCAUAGUGCAGCAGUGAUGGGAGGGCUGCGUAGACUCGGUAAUCUUCUUGCCGGGAAAAAAACCAGCUUACGAGAGUUGCGAGAGCGGAUUACUUACGCGCCACCGGUUUCGCUGACGAAUGCGUCAUUAUUGAUCCACGACUGCUGCUGUAGUUUCUGUAUAGAGCCUCUCUUCCCUCGUCUUUUCUGGCCAGCGAUUUUCUUGCGCAUGAUGCGCGGCCUCCUGAGCUACACAGCCACCGCCCGUCAAGAUGAUGGGCUCUUUCUCUGCCCCUCCCCCGGUGCUGCCGCCGCUGCUGUUGCUGUACAAGCUCUACGACGCCGCGCCGCCAUAUGACCGAGCCGUGCUCUUCGCUGAUCGCGAGAGGAGGCAAUCCGCGCCCCUGCACCGGCUGGAAAGGGUCUCGGCAACUGGCUUCGACAUGCUUCCACACAAGCGAAUAACGUACAUGAAAGAACAACAACGAGAAGACACGACCAAUCUGCCAGCGCAAGUAUACUCGGGCGCAUGCGUGUGUGUCUCAAGGAACGACAUCGGAUCACGCCACUGCAAUGGAGCUCUGCGCGCUUGUCGACGGUCUCGCCCCGUGUCCAUUUUGCGAUGAUACCGCCCAUCGUGCUGACGUGCCGUGCGGCGCGCCUACCUGCCCUCCAACCAUGUCGGAUCUUUAAGGUCACAGAGUGUGUGCGUGUGUGUGUGUAUAUAUAUGUCCUGCCGACAACAAGCUCGCAGUGUUCUCUCUCGAGCACGGAAGCCCUCCGGAUGGCGACCGACCGGAAAGAAGGGGCCAGUGCUCUCGCCGUCGCGCAGUUCGUGCGAGUGCGAGCUGAGUUGGGCGGCGAGACCUGUUGCGGCUGCCGCGUUCGCCCACGGAGACGUCGAAAGGGUGAAGGGAAGCACGAGCACGGCGCAUUCACUCUAGCGCAGCGAACGGAGGGCCACCGCUGCCGCCAGAGAGGCGGUUGCUGCUCGCUGCUCGGGGGGAUUCAAUUUCCAUCGCAACCGCGCUGCUUCCUUCCUCCGUCAUGCUGCUCCUGGGCUUCCUUCCUUUUUUAUUCUCUCUCUUCUUGUUCGUCUCCGUCGUUCAGCAGUGGAGCCGUCCGCCGCCAGUACAGCCUCGCAGGCCUGCGUGGCCCGCGGCUGUAGUGGAUAGAAGGAAGCAGCGGCGCAGUUUUUUUAGCCUACUACGGCUAGGGCGGCUGCGCGAAGUCCGCGCAACGCGGUCCUCGCUCGCGUGCGCCGCGGCCACGCCUAAGCUUGCACGGUCCGACAGCUGCAUAAAGAGCGGACGUAAUUCGUAGUCUCCCGAUUUCCUCUUCCUCUUCGCGCUUCCUACGUCUGUUGGUGGCGUUCUCCCGUUCUCCCCACCCCGCGGUACUCGUCCCUCCCUAUAUUUUCUUUCCUUCCUCUUGACGCUGUUUCCUGAGCCCGUGAGAGCAUCCGCACGUCUAUGCGCCUAUCUUCGAGCCCCCGCGUAUACGCAGUCCUGCUUAUCCGUUUCGCACUUUCGCGUCUGUAGUAUGGCACCCUUCAGCGACCGUCACCUCUGUAACCGUAUCUGCAUUAGCUGCCGUGGUUGUACACGUCUAAGCUAUGCUUAUCUAUAUGUUAGUGUUGUUGCUGCUUCUGUUGUUGUUGCUGAUCCCAAUGGCGAGUGCACUAAUCGGCGCCUGUCGUGGGCGGGCUUCGUUCUGUGCCCGGCAGCCUGUCUGAGAACUUCUAGAAGUAGAGCGAGGCAAAGCGCAGCACGACCUCUAUGCAUGCACUGCGACGACCUUUACAACUUUUUCCCCAGCAGAUCUAUACGCUAGUAAGAAAAGACACUGCGUCUGAACGCAGUGCGCAACCUACUGAUAGUAGAGUGCCCCAGUUUCUGCCCGCCCUGUUCUUGUUCAGUAACGUAGAUUAUGGUUACACACAUUUAAGCUAAUGUGGCCGCCGUUGGUACCUUUCCUGUAAUGCCCUUGCGCAAGCGUUGUGUGUGCAGAAUGUUGGUCUCAACUGUACACGUCGACUACCGUUAGACAUUCCCGCAUAACCACUGUUAAUCUGAGCGCCACUUACAGUUUAUAACAGUACUUAAUUAUAAUGAAUAAUUAUGCACGCAGUUCUUAUGGUAGACAUGUAACUGUCGUUAGGCUUCUCUUAUUGCAUUGCGCUAACGGGAGACGUCGUGAGUGAGGUUUGACUUGACUAUGUGGUUAGCGCGGCCAGUGCUACUAUGGUAAUAGCCACUUCUAGGUACCAACAUUGUCCGUUUGUGCAUAUGGAAUCUACAAAAUUAAGCAACCCAGGCAAGAGGAAUGAUAAGAGAGAGAGAAAUUUAUUAACUGAAAGGCAGAGAGCGAGGAACUAUUUAAGCUAACUUAGAGCAAUGAUAAGUUAGCUUAAAUAAAACAUUGAAGGUAUAGUGCAGGAUAGAAACUGCUCUCUCUCUCUCUCUCUCUCUCUCUCUGCGGAGGUUGGUGGCCAUCUGUUGCUAGGACAGCGUCUUUGCGUACUGUGUUUAGUGAACGAAAAUUCUUAGUUUCUAGCCGCAUCCGUUGAUGGUGCAGACAGCUACUCACGCGCUAUUGCAGUUUUUGGAGACCACCGGCCUCAGUGGCCGAUUGUAGUACGGCUGAGAGUCCUCUACUGUGUGCGCAUAAUGCUCACUCUCUCCCUUCUUUUCUCUUUCCGUCCUCUUUUUCAUCAUCACCAGAGUAUAGACAAACUAGACAAUCAUCUGGCUGAUCUCCUUAAUUUUCCUCUCAUUGCUUUCUAUCUCUCUGUCACUUUCUCAAUAUGUUUCUUUGUUUUUUCAGAAUUGGCUGCUAAGGGUAUAAUUCAACCGGAUUUGGUGGAAUAUUUAGGAAGUGUCUUGAUUACAAUUAACAAAGUCAUGUUUCUUACGACAGAAAGUGGUGGCAUCUGUGCAAGUAUUUCGGUGGCGAUAGCGGCUAAUAGUGCAGUGAACAAAGACGAGGUUAUGCGUAUUGCAAAAAAGUUCUUCUCUGGAAGAUGACGUCAUCCGCAUGCGAGAUGCUGUUGAUGUCACACUAAAUUAACCUAAAAGCUGGAUGGAUCGCUUAGGUCUUCUGCUUCUUUUAAUUAGUACGCUGUGGAAGUAAACGCAACUCUGGUGCAAAUGCGUAUAGACCGUCUAACGACGUACAGGUAUAGUGUAAUCAAGUCAUGUGCUGCCUCCAGUCACACGAGUCAUCUGCCGAAGACUCCCGGGCAUCCUCACAGGAGCGGGCAUUAUUGUUUCACGACUCGCCUCGGCUGCGUUUGUCAGCGGCCUCCGGGGCUAUUUUCUGUCAUCAUUAGGCCGGCGCGUUCAGCAGGAAAGAAACCUGCAUCAUGCAAUAGAUUAGGUCCCACGGCUCCGGCACAUCGCUUCUCCUUGCACGUACAGCGUGUAAUCCAGAUUAACUGGCCGUAACAAGCCGCCGCUGUUUACCAGCGCAGCAGCGUUCGUGCGCUCUCGGAAUACCGAGAGACAAACCGGCAAUACGAAACAAUCAGAGAGAAGCGCGCGGAGAAAACAACAACGACGAGAAGGAUAUGGCUAAACCUUACGCCAAAAGCAAGCGUAGUAUGUAAGGAAAGAAGCAAAACAUUUCCCCGUGGUGAACUAAACGGAGAAUGCAGGCAUCCUGGCAACGGCGAGAGUGAGCAUAGGAUAGCAAAGCGGGUCUAAGAGCGAAGAGGGGAGAAGGUGCUGAUGGUGUGUGACCGAGAGUGCGCCUCAUCUUCGGAAUAGGUGGUCCGAGCAACUCUUCCGGCGGCUGGUCGUCAGGAAGUCGGCGGAAGCAGCGAGGGUAUGACGCGCGCAAAGCACAGCACAGGCUCAUCCGUCGCAGCUUCCGGGAGGCUGAGCCCGUCGACGCGCUGGCGGCACUAAAAGGGUGUCGUGCCGCCAGGCCGGCGUGGCUUACAGGGUGUCUCCGGUUCAUUACUGAUGCGUCUCAUGUCCGCCGCGCGGGGCCAUUGUGCCUCCGCGGCGAUCUGGCCGUCGAGUCGAUAGUGACUCUGCGCGCAGCACCCGUGCCCUCAAGCGAGAGUCGCCCACGCCCUCGCAACUUAUCCUCCCCAAACUCCGUUGCAGACCUCGCUCCCUUUCUCAUUCCGGGUUCUCGGCACCGCGAACUCCUGAGUGAAAAGCGGCGCUUCCUUGAAGCUUCCCGCGCUAAGCCCUCCCAACCUCUGAACGCGUCGCUGCUGCCGGACCCUGAUGUACGAGCUAAUUACGUGUCGUAGCGCGGGCGACGGACGUAAACAGGAUGCCCGCGAUUUUGGCGAGAGCUUUGCCUCUGCCCUCGUGGCUUCUCAUGUGUACACAUCAUUUGCGAGCCGCUCUCUCGCAUCCUUUGCUACAAAAGAGAAAAGGCACUGCCACAACCCUUCCCCCACCCGCCUUCCCGUGCGUCUUAUGAGAAAAUAUCGCUAAGUGUGGGUAAACACGCUCGAAGCGGCGCGUUACAAUCUCUGGCGCUAAGGUAAUGGAAAAUUUGUCAUCUCUGGUUUCAGGAAACUUGACUAGAGCGCAGGAACGCCCGUUAUGUAGUCCUGGAGAUUAAAGAGGUGAAAGUCUGUUAAAGAAACCUUUAAGAUGCAGUUAGAUCGUUUGCACUGAGUCAGCUAGCUAGAGAAGGCUCAUCUGAGUUUCAGAGCCGGGCUGGAUGGAUGGAUGGAUGUUAUGAGCGUACCCUUUAGAACGGGGUGGUGGGUUGUGCCACCAAGCUCUUGCUAUUAUACUGCCUAAUGUCCUACCUAGGUUAAACAAUAAAAAAAGAAAAAAAAAUGAACUACCACACCCAGAUUUUCUGAUCCACUAUUGCUAACUGUGCUUUUGUACGUCUCCGUUUUUUGUCCUUUCCCUAAUUUUCUUCCACCAAUCCUCCCACCGCAUCUUACUAAUGCCUAUUGCGGACAUGUUUACUUUUCCACUGCUCCCGCUGAACCCAAGGGCUUCAAGGAGGCCAGUAGUGCCUAAACCGACCGCUGGGUAGACAUCUUCACAUACUAAUAAAACAUGCUCCAUCGUUUCCCUAGCUUUACCGCAGCAAGCACGAGCUUAUUAUGCCUUCUUAUAUCUCGCUUUAUAGGUGCGUGUUCUAUGGCAUCCCGAUCUCGCUUCGAAAAGUAAUGAUCUUCCCUUUGAGUUAUCAUAAAUGCUGGAUAGCUGCUGUUCACUCCAUCUAGCAGUACAUAAAAUAGACAAUGCGCGCACACAAGCUCUCAUGAACAGUUGCAUUUUCCGUUGUUUCAAACGUGAUACAAACACGCGGAUCGUAAAGUCUGCGGAUUGUCAUUGCUUCCAUGCAUUUGUCCCACCCAAAAAUUAUGGAGAUCCAAAGAACAGUAUGGAAUCUAUGCGAAGCGAAGUUUUCAUGAAGCAUGCAAUUAAAUGUCAUACAACUACAUUGGAUGUGUACAGUUCCCGUUAUUUUCAUACUUGUUUGCUUACGCAGAACAGAGACAUACUCACUGGCACCACGAUGUCGGUCGAA